CGCCACUCAUCAGAACACAAAGAUGGCGAUCAGAGGUCUGUUGCUGGCGAUGAUUAUGUAUGCGUUGAUUCUCGUAGCACAGGAUGCUGGCAUACCUAGUGAGAACACCACCCCAUGUCCAAUGGAACAAACUGCCAUGUAAGGUUUAGAACCCACGACUUUAUCAGAACCUCGAAACCCAGGAUCUAGACUCUGACUAAAUAUGAUGUAAAUUUCCAUAUUUAGAAGUCCAGUUGUAUACAUACAUUUUUUUUCUCUCUCUCUCUCUCUCUCUCUCUCUCUCUCUCUCUCUCUCUCUCUCUCUCUCUCUCUCUCUCUCUCGCUCGCUCGCUCGCUCUCUCU